AGAGUUUGAUCCUGGCUCAGAAUCAACGCUGGCGGCGUGCCUCAGACAUGCAAGUCGAACGAUUAAACUUUCCUUCGGGAAAGAUAUAAAGUGGCGCACGGGUGAGUAACACGUAGGUAAUGUACCUUUGGGUGGGGAAUAACUUAGGGAAACUUAAGCUAAUACCGCAUAAUGCAGCGGCUCCUUCGGGAGACAGUUGUUAAAGAUUUAUCGCCUAAAGAGCAGCCUGCGGCAGAUUAGCUAGUUGGUAAGGUAACGGCUUACCAAGGCUACGAUCUGUAUCCGACCUGAGAGGGUGGUCGGACACACUGACACUGAAUAACGGGUCAGACUCCUACGGGAGGCAGCAGUCGGGAAUUUUGGGCAAUGGGCGAAAGCCUGACCCAGCAACGCCGCGUGAAGGAUGAAGUCUCUCGGGAUGUAAACUUCGUAAGAAUAGGAAGAAUAAAUGACGGUACUAUUUGUAAGGUCCGGCUAACUACGUGCCAGCAGCCGCGGUAAUACGUAGGGACCAAGCGUUGUUCGGAUUUACUGGGCGUAAAGGGCGCGUAGGCGGCAAUUCAAGUCAGUUGUGAAAUCUCCGAGCUUAACUCGGAACGGUCAACUGAUACUGCUUUGCUAGAGCACAGAAGGGGCAAUCGGAAUUCUUGGUGUAGCGGUGAAAUGCGUAGAUAUCAAGAGGAACACCUGAGGUGAAGACGGGUUGCUGGGCUGAUACUGACGCUGAGGCGCGAAAGCUAGGGUAGCAAACGGGAUUAGAUACCCCGGUAGUCCUAGCCCUAAACGAUGAAUACUUGGUGUCUGGAGUUUUAUUCUCCGGGUGCCGUCGCUACGUUUUUAGUAUUCCGCCUGGGGAGUACGCACGCAAGUGUGAAACUCAAAGGAAUUGACGG
rnacentral:rRNA from 1 species